GCGCUCUCUCAAAGAAAGUACACAUACACAACAUGAUGAUAGAAUAGCAACACGUCGGUGCGUUUCGCGCGUAAGUUGUUUUAGUCGAACCGUCGUGGCACAUUGGUAAAUUCCGCGUACGCAGUGUCUGCAGGUGGAUAACGGUUUUGCCCAGCGUGGGUCCAGCCUGUCCCUCUCUCGCGACAGACCGAAUGCUUAUCCAAUUAAAAAGAACUAGGCCGCUGACAGAGAGGGUUGUGCUCAGAAUAACGCUUGAGUUGUGAAUGGGCAGAAAAGUGCGUUUUUGGAUUAUUUGGACAUAAUAGCACUGUAGCUCAGUGGAAAGAGCAUUGCGUUAACAACGCAAGGUUGUGGGUUCGAUCCUAGGGGACUGCAAAUACCUAUGUAACAUGUAUAGGAUAAAGCAAUGUGAGUCGCUAAAGCGUCUGCCAAAUGCCUAAAUGUAAUAGUAAUAAGCUACUUUUGACAAACAACUCGUUGAUCAAAUUGUAUUUUAAGUUAUAGGUCGGUAUCUUUUAAUUUGUCGUUUGUUUAUUUUAUUUGUAACGAAAAGUGCACAUAUUUGAGCCUUGUUUAUAUGAAACCGCAUAACUAAGACGUGUUUUAUUAAUGUAGGGCUUUGUAUUUGUGCAUUUCAUAAAAAGCGAUCAUUUAAAUCCCGUCUCCCAAAGCAAGAUCCGUGUAUUUUGAUAAGUAACUAAUGGCAUAAAGGAAUUGUGAACUUCCUAUUUUGUAAUGCUAGUUGUAUCCACGCGGUGUCAUUACAAGCCUAAAAAGACGGUCGAAAAGGGUCAUAAUCUCCUUAAAUGAUGCUGAAUAAUUUUGCGUGUGGUAUGGACACACCGUGAUUUUCUUACGUGCAAAAUGAUAAUAUAUAAAAUAUAAUAAGCAGUAAAAAUGAUUUAAAAAUAGCAUUGAACAGUAGUACGGAUAUAGUACACGCCUGUAUGUGAAUAUUUAAUUAUGUACAUACAAAUUUGACAAACUAAAACAAUGUAUAAUUCGACUAUAAUAUUGUUUUAUGUACCGUUGCAGUUUUAUAAAAUAAAAGUCCUUGAGCCAAUCAACGUGGUUGAAUGUUUUUGUGCGCAAGUCUUGCGCAACUCGACAGCAACGUCACAGGUCUGCCAGCCAGGAGUAGAGACAUGAAAACAUCCAAAUUCACCUCAUAUGGCUCAUCAUGACACUAUUUCGGGAAUAACCGCAACUGAAAGGAACUCUAAUUAAAAAAAAAACAUUACCGAAUACUUAUCUAUGUGCUUUUUUUAUUGUAAACUUUUAUUUGAUCAAGCUUUUCGAGAAACUACACACUAAAGGCUAGCGUUAGCACAGUAAUGUUAGCCGUCCUACAGGUAGAUUCUAUAUCGGAAUUGGUUCGUUUUAAAAGUAAUUAUUCAGUGUUAUGUCUUUUCAUUAUGGCAUAUGAUCAAUAAUAUGUUUGUGUUAAUCACUCGUCAGUGAAGAGAGACCGUUAAGACAUUCAGAAGCGCUAGAUAGCCAGCUAGGAAACUGAAGUGCUAUGCAGCAACUUGUUCCUCCUCCACGAACAGACAGAGGGUUUAAAUUAAACUUCGGCUUUUGGGCUACUAACAUCGACAUUAAGUCCUUUAAUUAGUUAUUAAAUGAGCUAAUAGCCCUGGUACCUGCGUUACAUGGGAAAUCUACAAUGUCGAGGUUUCUCCUAGGCCUGGUAAUGCUCGGAUGUAAUGUUGCAGUUGAGGAUGUUCAUGCAUUUAAUGAAGCCAUCACUAGACUUUGGAAUGACAAACCAGGAGAAAGGUGUUCUGGAAGAGUGGAGAUGCGGCAGGUGCAUCAGUGGGGUACCGUGUGCCAGCGGGGUUGGGAUCUCGAAGACGCUGCGGUUGUUUGCAGAGAGCUCAACUGUGGUUUUGUGUUGGAUGUUCCUAAUGGCGCUCGUUUCGGAAGGCCCAGCGUAGAUGUGUUGUGGAGGGAUGUGAAAUGUUCGGGCGAUGAGUUUACCCUCGACCUUUGUGAACGCAGCCUCAAUGAGGGAAUGUGUACACAUGAUGAAGAUGCUGGAGUGGAGUGCACGGGUAAACUUCCUGCACCUACCCUGUCUAUUCACUCGCGGUUCUAUGUCUAUACGGCCGGAGAGGCUGUUCACUUUAAAUGCACUGCCCCGUACUGGCAGUCUGUCAUUGACUUUCAUCUGUACAAAAGAGGUGUGAGCACUCCACUGGUGACCCAGCGAGCUGAUCCUAGGCAGAUGACAGUGGAUUUGACCCUGUCGGACCUGGAAAUCUCUCACCAGGGGAGCUACGGUUGUCUGUACAGGAUUCACAGCAAAAUGGGAAACUCCCCCUCAGGAAAUUCUCCACAUAGCAACCUCAUCAACAUCACAGUCUUGGAGAUUCACACUCCUCAAAUCUGGUACAACACCUCUCCUGAAGCACGACCGGGCUGGGUCAUCCGGGGACAAAGUUUCAAUGUCACCUGCUUCACUCAACCUCAGUACCCGGGAGGUUCCUUCCAGCUGCGCCUGAUCAGACCCAAUGGGACUGUGCGGCACUCUUUGCCAGCCCUCACUCCCUCUGUCACUUUCACCUUCUCUAAUGCCCAGUCCAGUACUGAAGGUUACUACUGUUGUUUAUACAAAGUCCAGACUGGAGAGCGGACAUUUAUCUCGAGAGAAAGUCAGCCUUUACCCAUCUCCAUACAAGAAGUGGAUCCGGUGAUGAGCCCAGUGGUAAUCAGUUUAGUGGUUUCUGGUCUGACCUUUGUGGUAGCAGCAUGUGCAAUUCUGAUUGUUGCCAAAGUGUACUGCAAGAAAGUGAGAAAACCCACCGAACUGGAACGAGAAAGCAGGACUUGUGUUGACAACACAUACAUAGCCUUGACAAUCCAAUGAUGGAAAUGUUUAAAGAAGGGUAGUGUGAGUUUGUUGAGGAGAGUUAUAUGCCGUGUCUCAAUCAGCUCCCUUGUCCAGUAGUCAGGGUCCUGACCAGCCAUUUUAAGAGAAGUCUCAUUUGCAAAAUCCUUCCAGUGCACUGAAAGGUUCAUUCCCUAAAAAUUCCCACAAUGCACCACAAAAACCAGGGAGCAUUGAUGCUCCCUAUGUUUCCUUAACGGAAAUCACGUGACAAGUCUUGAAGACAUUAAACCGAAAUCACAGGAGCCAACUCAAUCCACUUCAUGGAACGAGACAGAACUUUUGAAAAGACAAACGCUUAUUUUAUAUAUAAACAAACCUGCAAACAGAGGCGUCUCCAAACUGGUCACGCUGUCUGCCUGAAGUUGAGGUUUAAAUGACCUGUCCUGACCAAAAGGAAGACCGGAGUUCACGUUAUAACAGCCACAGAAAUCACCAUUUCCUACAAUUUGUCAUUUUCUGUUGGUUGCAGUGGUUUUAGGAUUGUCAUUGGUUGACGUUUUUUCUUUUUGGAAAAAUAUAUGGUAUGUAAGGCCGUAAGUAAAGGCUGACAUCACAAGACUUGGAAAAGAGGUGACACUACAGCACUAGCUGUUGCACUAACAUGGUUAAAAAGGGCUUUUGUUUCAUGUAGGGUACUGUAUGUCCAACCUCUCCCGAGGUCUUCCCAUAUUGCUGCAGGUAAAGACUCUAAAACUGUGAAAUGUGUCCUCUCUCUGAGAGCCUUUAUAAUUUGAAUAUUUAUUUUUUUCUACUACAGUUGUUUUUAAAGACCCAGUUGUAAACAUUAUUUGGUUAAUCACAGCUGGGAACAGGGACCGAAUACCCCAAGAACAAACUUCAUCACAUUACCUAGACAUGUCUAUUUUAGGUGUGUCUUGUUUGUUACUUUUUGAGUUUUGAUAUGAAAAUUGGCCCUCUGAACUAAUUGCCAGAUCUGACGCUGGAUGCUUCAACUCUUCUUCUCUGUGAACAAGAGGCAUAAACUGAACAAAGAAACAGGAACACUACUCGCACUCCAUUUGUUUAGUUUUGUUGAUUUAAAAUCUAAAAUAAAAGCCAGUUUAUCUUACUUUAUUAGUUGUAAUAGUUUUCCCAAAAAAAGUAAUAAGAAACACUGCUUUUGAAUACUGUUACAUCAAAGUUGUGCAAUUUGUAGAAUUAAUGGUUGUUCUUUUGUUGUAUGUUUUUGGUACGUGUAAGACUACUUGUAGUCUUUAAUUCUACCAUUAAAAAAAAUCACAACUUUGGCAAA